UACAGAGGUCUCAAGCGUUGUUCGGAUUCAUUGGGCGUAAAGGGCGCGUAGGCGGCGGGGUAAGUCGGGUGUGAAAUCUCAGGGCUCAACCCUGAAACUGCACUCGAUACUGCUCUGCUUGAGGACUGGAGAGGAGACUGGAAUUCACGGUGUAGCAGUGAAAUGCGUAGAUAUCGUGAGGAAGACCAGUGGCGAAGGCGAGUCCCUGGACGACUUCUGACGCUGAGGCACGAAAGCUAGGGGAGCAAACAGG
rnacentral:rRNA from 1 species